AUGCACAUGAUGGAAAAUGUAUCCUGACUGAUCACCUUGAUGUUAUCAAAGGAACCACUGAUGCCU